rnacentral:lncRNA from 10 species
CGGAAUUGCUGAAGUUGUGAAGGUUGAUGCUGUGAAUGCGCUCGGUCAUCCCCUUGCAACUGAUGUCACCUGCAGCAUGUCAACGCAGACACAAAACAGGGCAUGGGUCAGAUCUAGCUGGUUGCAUUCCUAACACCUAGGUUUCAGAGUAAAAAUACAGAGUCAGCUUGUGAUGGCAUUCCCUCAAAACAUGGAAGGAAUUGCAGUAAUGAAAGUCAUCAUGUAUUCUAAGAGACUGUUCUGCGAGAGCACAACACAGACGGGGCUAAAGCAGGGUGAGAAGCAAAAGUGCUCAGGAGUUAAGAGAAGCAGACGUCCGAAAUUAUCUCCAUGCAUUACCAAAAACCGUGGGCACCACGGCACGGGGAAAACUUACCAGGUACAAUGAGCCAGUGACUGUUACUGAAUUUCUUAAGAUUACACUUUUCCCAACUACUGCAGACUGCUUCAGAAUAGAAGAAGACAACUCUCAUGCCAUCAAGCCGACGGACUUUCAAAAAAAUAAAAGAUGCAUUUCUUUACUUGAGCUACGGUGAAAGGGCACCUAAGGUGAAUGGACAGAUUGUAGAUGGGUGCACACAGGAAAAUGUACAGCUCCUACAAUGUAUUCUGAGCUUUACUAAGGGAAUUAAUUAUCUGGAAGAACAGGAACAUACAGGCCCAUGAGAAGUAAAAGCAGGCACUGGCAUUCUGCACAGAUGAAAUACUUCCUACGACAGGAAUACAUGCUCACUUGUGGACUUCUCUGUAAUCUGUAGGCAACAUCAGCUCCUGAUUUCUAGGUCUGGAUCUGGGUUCUCUGUAGCACAGGAAGCAUAGUUACUCUGUGAUGAAGAAAAACUCAGAAAACUAUCCAGAUGUGGGAAUUUCUCGGGUAUUCCUUGCACUUGAACUUAAGGAUGAAUGAAGGUAUAUACAAGUCUCUACUUCUCCUACAUAAAUGCCUUGCAUGGCGGGAACUAAAUCAACUACACAGACCCAUACAUCCAGAGAGCAGAGGUGAGCUGGAUACAAGUGGCUUAGAGAUGUGGUGGAAGGAGGCCAGAGCUCCAAGGGAAGGGCAGCAAGGAGACAACAGCAUGGGUUGCAGCUCAGACAACAGGUAAAUAAAACCAAGCAAAGCUGCUGGUCACAGAUUUGACCAGGGUGGCAAGAAAUGACAAGCUACCAUGAGAUUCAACAGUGGCACGGAAGGAUGAUGAGAAGCAAACAGAUUAGGAGAAGCUGCCACCACCGUACAUAGAGGCACAGAUGACCAAGCAGAACAGCACCAGUCCCUGCAAGGUGUGCUCAGAUACAGCUCAGCACAGCCAUCUGGCCAGGAGGGAAUGAUAAUGCACAUGGUGUGCACUGCAGCCGGGAAGUUGAGAACCGCUGUGGGCACCUCAGGACUGAGUCUGGUUACCCUGCUGAUCCAAGAAAUGAAGCCAUCUAAAAUUUUGCCUGCUUUCACAAUUUUCUGUGUGUGUGUGUGUGUAUUAAACAAAGUGAACUAAGAAGCCUUUUAUUGGAGACAUAAUGUACUCACAGUAGUUUCAAAAUCAAUGGUGUCACUCUUCAGGUAAAUUACUCCAAGGCUUGGGCCUAGUGCAGAUGUUCAUUGGGGCAGGGAGCAGAGAGCGGCUGCAUCUAGAUCAGACAAAAAACAAAAAUAAGGUUGUUAAAUGAACAGGUGAUGGUGAUGGCAAUUAUUUAUUUUGAUAGGAAAG